GGGAAUUUAGCUCAGCGGCAUAAGCGCCUGCCUUGUAAGCAGGCAAUCGCCAGUUCGAUCCCUGGUACCA
rnacentral:tRNA from 1 species